GAGUAAAGAUUUCGGUCGCUUUGGGAGGAGCUCGCUUACUAUCAGCUUGUUGGUAGGGUAAUGGCCUACCAAGGCUAUGACGGUUAGGGGGUGUGAGAGCAUGACCCCCAGCAUUGGCACUGAAACACUGGCCAAACACCUACGGGUGGCUGCAGUCGAGAAUCUUCCACAAUGGGGGAAACCCUGAUGGAGCGAUGCUGCGUGCGGGAUGAAGGCCUUCGGGUUGUAAACCGCUUUUGUAGGGGACGAAAUUUUUGACGGUACCCUUUCGAAUAAGAGGUUGCUAACUCUGUGCCAGCAGCAGCGGUAAUACAGAGACCUCAAGCGUUAUCCGGAUUUACUGGGCGUAAAGCGUCUGUAGGGGGUUUAUUAAGUUCCAAGUAAAAUUUCAAGGCUCAACUUUGAAUUCGCUUGGAAAACUAAUAAACUGGAGUCUAGCAGAGGUGCAUGGAACUUGUGGUGUAGGAGUGAAAUCCGUUGAUAUCACAAGGAACACCAAAGGCGAAGGCAUUGCACUGGGCUAGCACUGACCCUGAGAGACGAAAGCGUGGGGAGCCAAACGGAUUAGAUACCCGUGUAGUCCACGCCCUUAACGAUGAAUGCUAAAUGUUCGGGGAUUCGACCCCCUGGUCGUUACAGCUAACGCGUUAAGCAUUCCGCCUGGGAAGUACGUCCGCAAGGCUAAAACUCAAAGGAAUAGACGGGGAUCCGCACAAGCGGUGGAGCGUCUGGUUUAAUUCGACAGUAAGCGUGGUACCUCACCAGGGUUUGACAUCCCUUGACAGCCUUGGAAACAAGGUUUCCUUCGGGCAAGGUGACAGGUGCUGCAUGGUCGUCGUCAGUUCGUGCCGUGAGGUGUUCCGUUAAGUCGGGAAACGAACGAAACCCCUAUUGCAUGUUGCAAUUUCUCAUGCAAGACUGCCCGGAUAUACUGGGAGGAAGGUGGGGAUGACGUCAGAUCUGCAUGGUCCUUAUACCCUGGGCGACACAGGCGCUACAAUGGCAGAGACAAAGGGUUGCAAAACCGCAAGGUGAAGCUAAUCCCAAAAACUUUGUCUAAGUUCGGAUUGAAGGCUGCAAUUCGCCUUCAUGAAGCUGGAAUCGCUAGUAAUCGUGAAUCAGCCACGUCACGGUGAAUAUGUUCCCGGAUCUUGUACUCACCGCCCGUCACACCAAGAGAGUUGGUAGCUCCCGA
rnacentral:rRNA from 1 species